UUCCGGUUGAUCCCCGCCGGACCCGACUGCUAUCAGAGUGGGACUAAGCCAUGCGAGUCAACAUAGCAAUAUGUGGCAUACGGCUCAGUAACACGUAGUCAACAUGCCCAGGGGACGUGGAUAACCUCGGGAAACUGAGGAUAAACCGCGAUAGGUCAUCACUUCUGGAAUGGGUAAUGACUUAAAUCUAUAUGGCCCCUGGAUUGGACUGCGGCCGAUCAGGCUGUUGGUGAGGUAAUGGCCCACCAAACCUGUAACCGGUACGGGCUCUGAGAGGAGGAGCCCGGAGAUGGGCACUGAGACAAGGGCCCAGGCCCUAUGGGGCGCAGCAGGCGCGAAACCUCUGCAAUAGGCGAAAGCUUGACAGGGUUACUCUGAGUGAUUUCCGUUAAGGAGAUCUUUUGGCACCUCUAAAAAUGGUGCAGAAUAAGGGGUGGGCAAGUCUGGUGUCAGCCGCCGCGGUAAUACCAGCACCCCGAGUGGUCGGGACGUUUAUUGGGCCUAAAGCAUCCGUAACCGGUUCUACAAGUCUUCCGUUAAAUCCACCUGCUUAACAGAUGGGCUGCGGAAGAUACUAUAGAGCUAGGAGGCGGGAGAGGCAAGCGGUACUCGAUGGGUAGGGGUAAAAUCCGUUGAUCCAUUGAAGACCACCAGUGGCGAAGGCGGCUUGCCAGAACGCGCUCGACGGUGAGGGAUGAAAGCUGGGGGAGCAAACCGGAUUAGAUACCCGGGUAGUCCCAGCUGUAAACGAUGCAGACUCGGUGAUGAGUUGGCUUAUUGCUAACUCAGUGCCGCAGGGAAGCCGUUAAGUUUGCCGCCUGGGGAGUACGGUCGCAAGACUGAAACUUAAAGGAAUUGGGCGGGGAGCA
rnacentral:rRNA from 1 species